rnacentral:rRNA from 1 species
UACGGAGGGUGCGAGCGUUGUCCGGAUCUAUUGGGUUUAAAGGGUGCGUAGGCGGCCGUUUAAGUCCGGGGUGAAAGCCCGCUGCUCAACAGCGGAACUGCCCUGGAUACUGGAUGGCUUGAGUACAGACGAGGUUGGCGGAAUGGACUGAGUAGCGGUGAAAUGCAUAGAUACAGUCCAGAACCCCCGAUUGCGAAGGCAGCUGACUAGGCUGUUACUGACGCUGAGGCACGAAAGCGUGGGGAGCGAACAGG